rnacentral:tmRNA from 1 species
UGGCAGACCGUCCCGGGAGCGAGAAUCAUGUCGGCCUGGGCGGUUGCUUCUCCCGUUCUCGUGACUGGCACUGCCGAGAUUGGACGAGAGCUACACACGUAGACGCGCUGGCCGGAAGCCAUGCGGACGCGGGUUCGAUUCCCGCCGCCUCCACCA